rfam:Pichia sorbitophila strain CBS 7064 chromosome G complete sequence.
CAGCCAUGAGGAAGUAUUGCACUGGGCACUGAUAAAUUCAUGAGUGACAAUGCAUUAUGGUAGGCCUCAGAAACCUGCCGUGACUGAGCUG